CAAAAACUGUAGAAAAAGGCAUAAAACACAUCAUAUCCCAGUUCAAUUAAACAUUUGAGAAAUUACAUCAACAGAUCAACUUGAGAAAAUAACAAGUGUAAGAUAAUUUAUGUAUUUAUCCUUUAUAAUAUAUGUUAAUUUCUGUGCUUUAUAAGAGGGUUCUGGCAGAAGGCGGAGCUUAACACAGGCCUGUAAAACACAGACUAGUUCAGUAAUCAUCACAGAUCACGGAGGGAAGCAGGAACCUGCUCAUCAUGUUCACUUGUGUACUUAUAUUGCUGACUUUAACUCAAGGUAACAGAGCUAAAGAUGCCAUCACUCCAUACAGUGAUGCAACAUUUGCCACUGAGACUGAGAGUGUGAAACUUUCUUGUAACUACACUGGUUCUGUUGACAGUCUUCACUGGUAUCGACAAUAUGCAGGUUCACCACCACAAUUCCUCAUACUGGACUACUAUGGAACAAAGACUCAAGCUGAUCCUCCAGUUUCUGGAAUAUCCAUUAGCCACAGAAAAGAAGCCAGCAGUGUGGAUCUGGAGAUCUCCUCUGCUAAAGUGACAGACUCUGCUCUGUAUUACUGUGCUCUGAGGCCCACAGUCACAGGAAACACCCGACACACCAUACAAAAACCUGAUGAUGUCUUACAGUUUGAUUCUGAUGUUACAUUCAAAUUCAUAUAA